rnacentral:lncRNA from 1 species
UAACCAUACAGCACAUAUAUAUUUUUAAUCAACUGUAAAAUAAAACAUGUUUACACAAAAAAAGAAAUUUGUUUUAGAGGAUUCCCAAUAUAUGUUCGGAUCCAAAGUCAGAUUGCUAGCUAGCUAUAAGCAACUCAUAUUACUCUGUACACUUGUUUCAUGUUCACAUAGUAUUAUUCUAACCAUACAGCACAUAUAUAUUUUUAAUCAACUGUAAAAUAAAACAUGUUUACACAAAAAAAGAAAUUUGUUUUAGAGGAUUCCCAAUAUAUGUUCGGAUCCAAAGUCAGAUUGCUAGCUAGCUAUAAGCAACUCAUAUUACUCUGUACACUUGUUUCAUGUUCACAUGGUAUUAUCUUAUUUAUUUACCACAUAUGUUACUAGUUUCAUGUUUAUUAAUUGUUUUAGUAUGGUUACCAAGUAGGCAAGUACCACCUUCUGUACUACAUACUCUAUAAUUUAUUUUUAACAGGGCAAAUUUCCAAAAUAGCACAUUUCUAAGUUUAUGUCACAAAAAUAGUCCUCAAAAACUAAAAUGACUAAAAUAGCAUUUUAUCUUUUGAAAAUUUUAAUUUUUUUAUUUUUUUAUUUUUCAAAAUUUGAAAUCUUAUCCCAAAACCCAACUCCCCAACUCUAAACCUUAAAACCUAAACCCUAAACCCUAAACUCUAAACCCUAAACUCUAAACCCCACCCCUUAACUCUAAACCCUAAAUCCUAAACUCCACCCCUUAACUUUAAAUCCUAAACCCUAAAUCCCACCCCUAAACUCUAAACCCUAAACCCUAAACUCUAAACCUUAAACCAUAAACCCUAAACCCUAAAUCCUAAACCCCACCCCUUAACUCUAAACCCUAAUGUCUAAAUUAAUUUACUAUUGGGGUAUAAGUGUAUAUUUAUCUCUUUUGAUAAAACAUUAAGUGCUAUUUUAGUUAUUUUUAUUCUUAGAGACUAUAUUUGUGACAAAAACUUUUUUAGUGCUAUUCUGGUCAUUUUCUCAAUUUAAUAUGUUAAGCUAUACUUUUCUAUAAUCACAAUAUAACAUCCGGCCACAAAGAAAGCUAUUGGAAUAUUUUCCAAGUAAUAUUACGUAGGAACUUUAUUGUGUACAUAUCCUUAUGAAUUAAUAAAUUAAUUAAAAGUGAGAUAUAUAAAUGGUUCACAUGUGGAAUCAUUUGCUUUGUCAAAAUAAGAGAACAGAACAAAAUAUGGCAAAUCUCCAAAAUAGCACAUUUCUAAGUUUAUAUCGCAAAAAUAACAUUCGAAAACUAAAAUGAUCAAAAUAACAUUUUAUCUAUUGAAAAAUUUAAUUUUUAUUUAUUUUUUAAAAUUUGAAAUCUUAUCCCAAAACCCCACGCUCCAACUCUAAACCCUAAAACCUAAACUUUGAAACCUAAACCCUAAAUUCUAAACCCUAAACUCUAAACCUUAAACCCUAAAUCCUAAACCCCAUCCUUUAACUCUAAACCCUAAUGUCUAAAUUAAUUUACCAUUAGGGUAUAAAUGUAUAUUUAUCUCUUUUGAUAAAACAUUAAAUACUACUAUUUUGAUCAUUUUUAUUCUUAGAAACUAUAUUUGUGACAAAAAACUUUUUUAGUGCUAUCCUAGUCAUUUUCUCAACAAAAUAGUUGACCAACAAAAAAAGAGAACAGAACAAAAUUGUAAUAUUUGAUCAAAAAAACAAAAUUGUAGUGUUUCACACUGUAUUUAAAUAUUUAAUAAAAAUGUCACCUCCAUUUUUCAACCCAUUUAAUUUUCAUCCUCUCCACUCUCUUUAUAAACACAUCUCUCUCUACGCUUAAAAAAGUCAGCGCUCUCUUUUGUCUCCUUUGCUUUCUCUUCUCUCCACAGAGAUUCUCAGAAGCCUUUGUCUCUCCUGAGAAAUCAAAUCAAUGGCGGACGAUUGGGAUCUACACGCCGUAGUCAGAGGUUGCUCAGCCGUCAGCUCAUCUGCAACCACCGUCUUCUCUGGCGCCGUUUCAUCUCACACGAACCCUAUGUUCACCUACGAAGAACAGAGUAAAGCAGUCUUGUUCAGAGAUAUUCAAGACUUCUACACGCCGUUCACACAAGAAUCAAAUGUAUCCUCGUUUUCUUGUCUGAAUUAUCCAGAAGAACCCAGACAGAGACAAAACCAGAAACGUCCUCUUUCUCUCUCUGCUUCUUCUGGUAGCGUCACUAGCAAACCCACCGGCUCCAAUACCUCUAGAUCUAAAAGAAGGUUCGUUUAUUUUUCUUACCAGUUCAACAAGAACCACUAAAGCUUAAACCUUUUGACGAACCCAUGAAGAAGUUUAUGAAAUUUUGCGUUUUAUUUGUCGAAUCCUCCAAGAAAUUUUGUGUUUUUUUUGUUGGACCCCAUCAACUUAUUUUCGAAUUUAAAUAUGUGUAGAUAGAUGUCUAAAACGUCUCUGUGUUGUGUUGCUUGUUUCAGAAAGAUACAGCAUAAGAAAGUGUGCCAUGUAGCAGCAGAGGCUUUAAACUCCGAUGUUUGGGCAUGGCGAAAGUACGGACAAAAACCCAUCAAAGGUUCACCCUAUCCAAGGUACUAUACAUGAAAAAGAUUAAUUGUUCUUUAAAGACUUAUGAAUGUGUGUAUUCUUUCGAGACAAAACACUUGUCCGUCUUUGUGACUCUGCUUUAAAUGAUCUCUGUUUCUAUUUCUAAUGUACGUCCGUUUAAAACAGAGGAUACUACAGAUGUAGUACAUCAAAAGGAUGUUUAGCCCGUAAACAAGUGGAGCGAAACAGAUCCGACGCGACGAUUUUUAUUGUCACUUACACGGCUGAGCAUAACCACCCAGCUCCUACUCACCGUAAUUCUCUCGCCGGGAGCACUCGUCAGAAAUCAUCUGAUCACCCGACGACCACGAUUGCUACUUAUUCAUCGUCUCCGGUGACGUCAACAGACGAGUUUGUCUUGCCUGCGGAGGAUCUAGCGGUCGGAGAUCUAGACGGAGACGAGGAUUUGUUGUCUUUGUCGGAUACAGUGGUGAGCGAGGAUUUCUUCGAGGGGUUGGAGGAGUUCGCCGGCGGAGAUAGCUUUUCCGGGAAUUCUUCUCCGGCUAGUUUUGAUCUCUCUUGGGUUGUAAACAGUGGCGCCGCAAUUAGCGGCGGAAUAUGAUUCGCGGGGGACUAGACGACGGCUUAGAAUAACUCUUUUAGGAAUAAGAUUAUAGUAUUUUUUUUUUGUUUAAAUUUAAAUUUUGAUUAUAUUAUGUUUAUUUAAUAUAUAAAUAUUAUAAUCUAUUAAAAAAAUAUAAAUAGUAUAAUCUAUGAUUUGUCUGUGAUACGCGUGGAAUAUUUGCCAUUUGUUUAGUGACUUAAACGUAUUUGAAAAUAUUCAUUUUCAACGUUAGUUUGUGGAUGAGAAAUGUCGAUUGGAAUUUAAUAGUGUGUGUUUGUUAUUAUAUACCCUUGAAAUGCUAAUGUAACGUUGCCGUAGGGAGUUUGUGAAGGUUAUUUGUUUCAUCUGAAUGUAAAUGUCUGUGCACCAGCAUUCGAUAUUCUUUUUCGGUUUAGGAAAUUGUUGUAAUUAGAGAGUUUAGAGACUGAAUAUUUCUGUGUUCUUAUUAAUGAACAAGGAUUCCUUAUAUAAGGAUUACAAGAUAAAGAUAAAUGGAAAGAGUACAUAUCAUAAUCCAACAGGAAAUAGGAAAACUACUAAAACAUAGAAAAGGAAAACAUCAUAAGUUCUAAGUCGGCUAGAUCAUUGGUCGACUCUCUCUCCUCCUUGCGGCCGCGGUUGGGCUUGAUGUGGCCGACAGGCUUUCUUCUCUUGUCUUGGUUAAUGGCAAUCCACUCCAUGAUUUAUAACACUCCCCCUUGGAUGCCAUAACCAUACAAGUUUUCUAGUACGCUUCAUGUUGCCUCAUUAAAACCUUAUCAGGAAAACCCAGUGGGACAAAACCAUGAUAAAGGAAAAAGAGUACAACACGCACUACUCCCCCUGAUGUGAACCUCAGUGUAGGUUCUACAUUCUACGCAUCUUGGUGCGUGAUAUUUCUUGUAUGUAUAGGAUGGGAGUAAUCGGCCAGUUUCAUUACUGAACCGUAAUUAGACCACUUCGACUUCUUAGGUCGUUUCUCAUGUCCUUUGACAUCGAGUGUCCCGGUAAAGCAUAUGUGCUAAGCAAUGUGAAUCACAUUGUCCUCGGAGAUCACUAUUGGGUCUUUGCAAAUCGUGUUUGCAUAUGUCCAUAGUCUAGACGUGAUCGUCUACUCUUAACUCUUUACUAUGGUCGGAUAAACCAAGUACUCAUGGACAAUGUACUAAACAUGGUUAUCAUGAACCUAUGUCUCGGUGUAUCUUCUAUACACAGAUGUAUAUCAAUGGCUUUAUAAUUUUACCAUACUAUGGCUUAUUGGCCAGAACAUAUUCAUGAUCCAUACAUAUGGUCAUCGAUCUUUCUUGCUUUAGGCAAUACCAUAUGUAUUUAUCUCGGACAUUGCAGUCCUUUAUCCAUCUCUUGAUGGUGUCUCAUGACCUCUGUUGCUGUGGAUUAUAUCACACACUGAAAUAUAUAUUAUUAGGUCAUAGAUCUCGGCUCUCACAAGCUUAUGGACUACAAUACAUUUGUAUCCGGUUGAUCUUUUGUCUCUACUAGCCCGUGAUCAAGAAGAAGGGCCAGACGCCUUUUAGUCUUAAAAGCCGGACGCGUCUAGUAGAAGAGCCAGACGAGCUAUAAGCAACUCAUAUUACUCUGUACACUUGUUUCAUGUUCACAUAGUAUUAUUCUAACCAUACAGCACAUAUAUAUUUUUAAUCAACUGUAAAAUAAAACAUGUUUACACAAAAAAAGAAAUUUGUUUUAGAGGAUUCCCAAUAUAUGUUCGGAUCCAAAGUCAGAUUGCUAGCUAGCUAUAAGCAACUCAUAUUACUCUGUACACUUGUUUCAUGUUCACAUAGUAUUAUUCUAACCAUACAGCACAUAUAUAUUUUUAAUCAACUGUAAAAUAAAACAUGUUUACACAAAAAAAGAAAUUUGUUUUAGAGGAUUCCCAAUAUAUGUUCGGAUCCAAAGUCAGAUUGCUAGCUAGCUAUAAGCAACUCAUAUUACUCUGUACACUUGUUUCAUGUUCACAUGGUAUUAUCUUAUUUAUUUACCACAUAUGUUACUAGUUUCAUGUUUAUUAAUUGUUUUAGUAUGGUUACCAAGUAGGCAAGUACCACCUUCUGUACUACAUACUCUAUAAUUUAUUUUUAACAGGGCAAAUUUCCAAAAUAGCACAUUUCUAAGUUUAUGUCACAAAAAUAGUCCUCAAAAACUAAAAUGACUAAAAUAGCAUUUUAUCUUUUGAAAAUUUUAAUUUUUUUAUUUUUUUAUUUUUCAAAAUUUGAAAUCUUAUCCCAAAACCCAACUCCCCAACUCUAAACCCUAAAACCUAAACUCUAGACCCUAAACCCUAAACUCUAAACCCUAAACUCUAAACCCCACCCCUUAACUCUAAACCCUAAAUCCUAAACUCCACCCCUUAACUUUAAAUCCUAAACCCUAAAUCCCACCCCUAAACUCUAAACCCUAAACCCUAAACUCUAAACCUUAAACCAUAAACCCUAAACCCUAAAUCCUAAACCCCACCCCUUAACUCUAAACCCU